rnacentral:rRNA from 1 species
GACGAACGCUGGCGGCGUGCUUAACACAUGCAAGUCGAACGGAAAGGCCCUGCUUUUGUGGGGUGCUCGAGUGGCGAACGGGUGAGUAACACGUGAGUAACCUGCCCUUGACUUUGGGAUAACUUCAGGAAACUGGGGCUAAUACCGGAUAGGAGCUCCUGCUGCAUGGUGGGGGUUGGAAGGUUUCGGCGGUUGGGGAUGGACUCGCGGCUUAUCAGCUUGUUGGUGGGGUAGUGGCUUACCAAGGCUUUGACGGGUAGCCGGCCUGAGAGGGUGACCGGCCACAUUGGGACUGAGAUACGGCCCAGACUCCUACGGGAGGCAGCAGUGGGGAAUAUUGCACAACGGGCGGAAGCCUGAUGCAGCAACGCCGCGUGCGGGAUGACGGCCUUCGGGUUGUAAACCGCUUUCGCCUGUGACGAAGCGUGAGUGACGGUAAUGGGUAAAGAAGCACCGGCUAACUACGUG